rnacentral:misc_RNA from 1 species
AUAAUAUACAACUUUCAGCAACGGAUCUCUUGGCUCUCGCAUCGAUGAAGAACGCAGCGAAAUGCGAUAAGUAAUGUGAAUUGCAGAAUUCAGUGAAUCAUCGAAUCUUUGAAUGCACCUUGCACCUCUUGGUAUUCUGAGAGGUACACCUGUUUGAGUAUCAUUAAUUCUAUCCACUCUUAGUUAAAAGGGUUGGGACUUGGGAGAUUUACUUGCAGAGUUAAAUAUCUGCUCUCCUUGAAUGUAUUAGCAGGGAUUUUAUUAGUCCUUGGAUUGAUUGUGAUAAUUAAAACAUCUCUUCAAAUCCUUGGGUCUAAGUUGUUCAUCUGCUUCAA